GGAAGAGAGAGAGAAAAAGAGAGAGAGAGAGAUGAGGAGAGAGGGUGAAAGAAAGAGCGCAAACUGCAAGAGGUCUCCUGCUCACUUGGCGCAAAUGCCUCAUCACCAUGAUGCGCUUCAGCUGUUGUGAAAUGUUAAAGGCUCCAAACUUGAGGUGAAAAUGGAUUCUCCGAAACGAGCUCGUGUCAUGAGGAGAAAAAUGAGCUCCAUCAUUAGACAGAUGACGUGCGUCAGUGGCUCAGAGACGCUCAUCAGUCUGCGGAACAGAUGAUGUUCCUCAAAAGAAACCCCCCCAUGUAUCAACACAAGACAGCAAUCUGCAAGAUGCGCUGCAGAUCACAGCCUGUUAGAGUCCUUCCUAAGGAAGUAUAGCCUUGAGGCUAAUACAAUUCAAAUAAUGACUUUACUAAUGAAGACUAACAUACAAGUGUCAUCCGGAGUUCUUCUAUGUUUGUAAGUAUUAUAACAUGUGAAACAUUCCCUCUCCACUCAACUCAGGGCCAGUCAGCUGCCUCCCAGCCCAGCUAUGGCUCCCCCUAGCCGUGCCUCCAUAUUUCCUUGUUAGUGCUCACCAUAAUGCCCUGACCCUCCCUGAUAUAUCACACCAAUAAGACACCAAAAUACACCUUAAAACCUCAAUAUCUCUGUCAAAAUGUGGAGUAUACAGUCUCUAUCUGCCUCCCAGCCAACAUUGGGCUCCAUAGGCCAUAGCAGAACAGAGGA